rnacentral:rRNA from 1 species
GAUGAACGCUGGCGGCGUGCCUAAUACAUGCAAGUCGAGCGAACAGACGAGGAGCUUGCUCCUCUGACGUUAGCGGCGGACGGGUGAGUAACACGUGGAUAACCUACCUAUAAGACUGGGAUAACUUCGGGAAACCGGAGCUAAUACCGGAUAAUAUAUUGAACCGCAUGGUUCAAUAGUGAAAGACGGUUUUGCUGUCACUUAUAGAUGGAUCCGCGCCGCAUUAGCUAGUUGGUAAGGUAACGGCUUACCAAGGCAACGAUGCGUAGCCGACCUGAGAGGGUGAUCGGCCACACUGGAACUGAGACACGGUACAGACUCCUACGGGAGGCAGCAGUAGGGAAUCUUCCGCAAUGGGCGAAAGCCUGACGGAGCAACGCCGCGUGAGUGAUGAAGGUCUUCGGAUCGUAAAACUCUGUUAUUAGGGAAGACCAAAUGUGUAAGUAACUAUGCACGUCUUGACGGUACCUAAUCAGAAAGCCACGGCUAACUACGUG